ensembl:scaRNA
GUGCACUUGAUACGAGCCAGGAUACCCACGCUUGUCUGUUCUUUCAGAUGAGUGUAUGCCAUGGUAUCUGGGUUUCCAUGAGUGCCACAUUAACCCAACCUUAAGCAUUUAAGCUCAGAGUGCAGAGAGACACCUUGAGUUAUAACUUAUGGUACAGAU